rnacentral:rRNA from 1 species
AUUGAACGCUGGCGGCAGGCCUAACACAUGCAAGUCGAACGAGUGGCGGACGGGUGAGUAAUGUCUGGGAAACUGCCUGAUGGAGGGGGAUAACUACUGGAAACGGUAGCUAAUACCGCAUACCAUCGGAUGUGCCCAGAUGGGAUGAGUUAGUAGGGGGGGUAACGGCUCACCUAGGCGACGAUCCCUAGCUGGUCUUAGAGGAUGACCAUCCAUACUGGAACUAAGACACGGUCCAGUCUCCUACGGUAGGCAGCAGUGGGGAAUAUUGCACAAUGGGCGCAAGCCUGAUGCAGCCAUGCCGCGUGUAUGAAGAAGGCCUGCGGGUUGUAAAGUACUUUCAGCGUGGAGGCGUUACCCGCAGAAGAAGCACCGGCUAACUCCGUGCCAGCAGCCGCGGUAAUUC